rnacentral:sRNA from 17 species
CUUUUUCCAGAUCUAUUCGGAUAAACCGAAUAACUCGUCGUAGUCAAGCAUUGCUUGAGGUGGCACAGGGAAGAGCUGUGGUGGCUCAGUUCGUAAAGCUACACCUGGAGAACUUUGAUUUUAAUAUAACCUUUGA